GUGCCCAUGGCUCAGCGGAUAGAGUGUUCGGCUACGAACCGAAAGGUCCGGGGUUCGAAUCCCUGUGGGCACGCCA
rnacentral:tRNA from 1 species